rnacentral:rRNA from 1 species
GACGAACGCUGGCGGCGUGCUUAACACAUGCAAGUCGAACGGAAAGGCUCUGCUUUUUUUUGGUGCUCGAGUGUCGAACGGGUGAGUAACACGGGAGUAACCUGCCCUUGACUUUGGGAUAACUUCAGGAAACUGGUGCUAAUACCGGAUAGGAGCUCCUGCUGCAUGGGGGGGGUAUGAUAGUUUCGGCGGUUGGGGAUGGACUCGCGGCUUAUCAGCUUGUUGGUGGGGUAGUGGCUUACCAAGGCUUUGACGGGUAGCCGGCCUGAGAGGGUUACCGGACACAUUGGGACUGAAAUACGGCCCAGACUACUACGGGAGGCAGCAGUGGAGAAUAGUGCACAAUGCGCGGAAGCCUGAUGCAGCAACGCCGCGUGGGGGAUGACGGCCUUCGGGUUGUAAACCGCUUUCGCCUGUGACGAAGCGUGAGUGACGGUAAUGGGUAAAGAAGCACCGGCUAACUACGUG